AUACGUAGGGGGCGAGCGUUGUCCGGAAUGAUUGGGCGUAAAGGGCGCGUAGGCGGCCCGGUAAGUCUGGAGUGAAAGUCCUGUUUUUAAGAUGGGAAUUGCUUUGGAUACUGUCGGGCUUGAGUGCAGGAGAGGUAAGUGGAAUUCCCAGUGUAGCGGUGAAAUGCGUAGAGAUUGGGAGGAACACCAGUGGCGAAGGCGACUUACUGGACUGUAACUGACGCUGAAGCGCGAAAGUGUGGGGAGCAAACAGGAUUAGAUACCCUGGUAGUCCACACUGUAAACGAUGAAUGCUAGGUGUAGGGGGUAUCGACCCCUUCUGUGCCGCAGUCAACACAAUAAGCAUUCCGCCUGGGGAGUACGGCCGCAAGGUUGAAACUCAAAUGAAUUGACGGGG
rnacentral:rRNA from 1 species